rnacentral:ncRNA from 1 species
GUGUUGUAUGAAAGGAGAGAAGGUUAGGACUCCCCUUGACAAGGAUGGAAGAGGCUCUCAGGCCUGACAACAUGCAAUCGGUUAAGGCAUUACCACCUACUCCAUGGCAUCUAACCACUGUUUUUU